rnacentral:rRNA from 1 species
CAGUAGCCGCGGUAAUACGAAGGUCCCAAGCGUUGUUCGGAAUCACUGGGCGUAAAGGGAGCGUAGGCGGCGUGGUAAGUCAGAUGUGAAAUCCCGGGGCUCAACCCCGGAACUGCAUUUGAUACUGCCAUGCUUGAGGGUUGGAGAGGUAGCUGGAAUUCUUGGUGUAGCAGUGAAAUGCGUGGAUAUCAAGAGGAACACUCGUGGCGAAGGCGAGCUACUGGACAACAUCUGACGCUGAGGCUCGAAGGCCAGGGUAGCGAAAGGGAUUAGAUACCCCAGUAGUCCCUGUCUCUUAUAC